rnacentral:misc_RNA from 1 species
GUAAAAUAUGUAAAACGAAGUCCUCGGCAGCUCAUACAAAUUUAUUCAGCCUCCUGUUUCAGGCCUCUUGACAGUUUCAAAAUCAAUUUCUAGCAGGAUUAUUGAUUGAUGAAAUAUAACACAAAGUGCACAUAGUACAGCAGAAAUAUAAAAAAAGUGAAAAAGAAAAAAAAGCUAGGAAGAUGUUUGCCUCUCCAACAUCAUCCUUUACUCAUCAUAGAAGUAACAUAAGCCAAAUAAUGCACGCACUAUCUCUAAACUUGUCAUGGACAGCUGUUCAAACUAUAAAUAAAUACAUGUAUGCCUUGUCUUGUGCACUCUCUAUUUGAUCACAUCGACAAAAACAUCAUCUUCUUCCCCAGGGAAAGCAGUAACAGCUCUUGGAUUUUUCAUUGCCAUACUGCUUGUGUCCAUGUGAUUGAGAAGAUUCAGUUGGUAGGUCUGGCACCUUUGCCGCUCCGCCCUGUUUCUCUUCUCGGACUUUGUUGAAAAUAUGAGUGUACCCAUCAGCUGAUGCAGGGUCGGUCUCAUCCCAUUCGCCAAAUUUUGGAACUGCACUGUGAUCAGGCUGGCAGGACAGAAUAACAACAUGAUCUCAGAAGUUUCAUUGAUUUGUAGUGAAGAUAAUUAUCCUAUACAACUUAGCAGACCAUAAAAUAACUUAAAUUUUACUCUUCUAAGGAAAAAAAUGUGUAUAAAUAAAAGAAAAAUGGAUGGGGAAAAGGAGAGAAAAACACCUAGCGAAUCUCAGGAAAUGUUUUCUGAUUCACAUAUUAGAGAUGGAAAUUAUUAGAAUUUAAGUUUACUGUUUCAUCUAAAGUACUCAAAUGUUUCUUGCAUCCUGCAUUUUACUUGAUGUUCCUAAUGCAUUAUCUUCUUGCAAUUUAGAGAAGCAAUAUUAGAGAUAAAAUCUUGUAAUAUAAAGGCAAUAAAGAGGCAACAACCUACAUAUUUGAGCUUUUCUUUUCUUUUAUUACUAGUGGCCAAAUUACUUUAACCUUUUGCAGUCCCCUGGAGUAGUCAUUAAGUAACCAUAUAUUUUGGAAAAAGCAGAAAGUUUUAAUGUAAAUCUAAAAAUGUAAUAAAAAGAUAGAAAACAAUUACGCUAUCAUUGCCUCUGGUGACUGAUCUCAAUCGGGAUCUUCCAGGAGUCAUGGGAGCCAGGCCGUGAGUACCUUCAGAUGAACCCUUUCUUUCCCAAGACAAAGAAGAUACUGCAUUACCUUUGCCUCCAAUUUUUGGCUGGUUACGUGGGUGUAAAUGCGACUGUUCAGUGCUGAGAUCAGAGGCUGCACUCCACCGCAUAAUCCUUCUGUGGGUAUCACUAGAGCUUACACCACCAUAAUGAUGAAGAUUUGAGUCAGCUGCCACCCUCUGAGCACCGGUAUCAUGGUGCAUUACAGAAUUUGUAGGUCUCCUCAGGCGAUCGCGACCAUGUUCCCCAUGCUCAUGAUUUGCCCUUAAUACUUUUGUAACAUCUCUCUUGCCAACAUCAUCAUGGUGCAAUGAAGAGUCAGUCGAUCUCCUUAAAUCAAUCUCUUCUUGGCUUAAAUGCUCAUGCUUUGACCUCACUGCUUCUGGCACUUUUUGUGCUUCAGUUGGUUUCAUUUGGAAAGAAGAGGCAUGAAUUGGAGGCUUGGUAUUGAAAAUGUCAGGGUUUUCUUCAGAGUAAUUUCGAUUCAUUUUCCCUUCAGUUCUUUCCUUCCUCGCCUUCUCAAAAUAGACCGUGUAUGGGACAUUCUCUUCACUUUCCCAGUUGCCAAACUUGGGCACAGCAGAGCGAUGCUGCAAGGAUACAAUAUGAGAUGAAAAAUUAACACACAAACAGAUAAUGGGCAGCUCAGGCUCUACUUUGCAAUUUUGGAUCAUGAACAGGCAAUUCCAGGACUCACUACUUUGCUCAACCUGUCAAAAGUUUGCCAGUGAUUGAAAAUAUUUUCAUAUAUGUGAGCAUAUACCAUCACACUGAGCUUUUCUUCAUCAAAAAUCAGCUCCUAACCUGCUCUGAUUCUGUACCCGCAAUACCUUCUGCUAUUGAUACCCUCCAUCCAAAGGAAUUACCCAUAUCCCUCUUGAUUGAAUAUGUUCUGUAUUACACAGGUUUCAUCUUUUACCCUACCCAUCUGCUUUUGAUCCCUCCAUCCACGCCUUUUCUAGCAUGAAAGAUCAUUCAUUUCAUUUCCUAAUUUAGUCUGUGAUCAGCGAUCAGCCAAAAAUUUAAAGCUAAAACCACACAUGGUGAAACCCCAAAUGGUGAAACCCCAAAAAGAACUUACUCAGGCAAAUCCUAUCCCAGAUCCCAACUGAUGAAAGAUAAUUCAUCUCAGUGAUUAUAUAUCUGAAAUUCAGAAGGACUAGUGAGCUUUUGCUCCACUUUAUCACCAAAAAGGGGAAAAAAAUAUAUCAGAAGAACUAAGCCUUCUACUAAUAAUACUGUUGCCUCCACUAUUAAUACAAACUGUUCCAAGAAAGCUAAUCCUCCUAAAAUUUA